rnacentral:rRNA from 1 species
ACGCACGCUGGCGGCGUGCUUAACACCUGCACGUCGAACGGAAAGGCCCUGCUUUUGUGGGGUGCUCGAGUGGCGAACGGGUGAGUAACACGUGAGUAACCUGCCCUUGACUUUGGGAUAACUUCAGGAAACUGGGGCUAAUACCGGAUAGGAGCUCCUGCUGCAUGGUGGGGGUUGGAAAGUUUCGGCGGUUGGGGAUGGACUCGCGGCUUAUCAGCUUGUUGGUGGGGUAGUGGCUUACCAAGGCUUUGACGGGUAGCCGGCCUGAGAGGGUGACCGGCCACAUUGGGACUGAGAUACGGCCCAGACUCCUACGGGAGGCAGCAGUGGGGAAUAUUGCACAAUGGGCGGAAGCCUGAUGCAGCAACGCCGCGUGCGGGAUGACGGCCUUCGGGUUGUAAACCGCUUUCGCCUGUGACGAAGCGUGAGUGACGGUAAUGGGUAAAGAAGCACCGGCUAACUACGUG